UACGUAGGGGGCGAGCGUUGUCCGGAUUCAUUGGGCGUAAAGAGCUCGUAGGCGGUUUCGUAAGUCGGGUGUGAAAACCCCAGGCUCAACCUGGGGACGCCACCUGAUACUGCGAUGACUUGAGUCUGGUAGGGGAUCACGGAAUUCCUGGUGUAGCGGUGAAAUGACGCAGAUAUCAGGAGGAACACCGGUGGCGAAGGCGGGUCUCUGGGCCGAUACUGACGCUGAGGAGCGAAAGCGUGGGGAGCGAACAGG
rnacentral:rRNA from 1 species